UUGACGCAUGUGUAGGCUGG
rnacentral:misc_RNA from 1 species